GUAAAAACACGCUCUCAAACCACUGGGCUCGCUAUAAAUGGGAAUUCUCUUUCUGAGUUUCUCAUGUAUAGUUAGCUAGUGUAGAGCAAAGGCGUGACAAUUCAUGGGAGCUUUUCAUCAACAUGCCGUCUAGCCUAAAAUUACAAUACCUAUCAAGCUUUCUGCUAUUGGCGCACUAAUGCCUGUCCAUCCACCUUUCUUUCAAAUUUCUAUCACAGCAAAAAAUAAUGUAACGAUGGCCGAUGUAAUUUAAGGAGAUGUUAGACGUUCUAUGUAUUAUUUGUUAUAUUCGUUGUUAUAUUACAUCAAACCGAUGUACACACUGCGAACAUGUCGUUUAGUGUAAUAUCACAACCUGUUCUGUAGUAUUACAUCAAGUAGCCAAUGUUUAUUUAAAUUGACGUUUGGAAAUUUCUCGCAUUAAAAAGUUGGGGACCGGUUGUAAACUUUGGGGAUGUGUGUUUUGCCGGUUCAUUUACUUCGAGACGUCUGAAUGAAAAAGUAUUAACGGAUUUCAAAACAACCGGAAGAAAGUCUUGUGAACAUGCAGUGGUCAUUCAAAGGACAAAUCUGGAGAGUAUGGAACCUCAACAAUAAGUGGACCUGUAUUGGAUCUGAUGCAUUAAACAUUCCAUUGUGAAAUCGCGCAUCGAUAAUUCGUGAAAUCUGUGAUCGGAAAGCUGUUUCCAGAAUGCAAAUAAUACUUCACACCAACUUGAUUCCAUUAUUUCCAGCGAAACGGGCAGGAUUUGUGAGGGAAAUCAUUUUUCCACAGUCUUCUCGACUAAUAAAUCAAAUAAAACGAGCUUCAAACCAUUUCGCUUUUUAUUGUGAUUGGAAUUUCUCAUCUAAUUCAAUACUUGAAAUCUGAGUCUUAAGGUGGACCCAUGCCCCCUGUUAC